GUUUUAUACAGAAGCGGCGAGAGAUUAGGCUCCCUGACCCGCUGGCAACCUUCACCCGUUGAAAGGUGCCAAUUCCUACCCCAGUAGCUGCCGCGCGUAGCCUGGGGGGCUAUAAACC
rnacentral:ncRNA from 2 species